UCUCCGUAGGUGAACCUGCGGAGGGAUCAUUACAGAGUUCAUGCCCUACCGGGUAGAUCUCCCACCCUAUGUUAUUAUUACUUUGUUGCUUUGGCGGGCCGUUAGGCUCCGGCCCGACUACCGGCCCCGGCUGGUAAGCGCCCGCCAGAGGACCCAAAACCCUGAAUAUUAGUGUCGUCUGAGUACUAUAUAAUAGUUAAAACUUUCAACAACGGAUCUCUUGGUUCUGGCAUCGAUGAAGAACGCGGC
rnacentral:misc_RNA from 1 species